rnacentral:rRNA from 1 species
AGUGAACGCUGGCGGUAGGCCUAACACAUGCAAGUCGAACGGCAGCACAGUAAGAGCUUGCUCUUACGGGUGGCGAGUGGCGGACGGGUGAGGAAUACAUCGGAAUCUACUUUUUCGUGGGGGAUAACGUAGGGAAACUUACGCUAAUACCGCAUACGACCUACGGGUGAAAGCAGGGGAUCUUCGGACCUUGCGCGAUUGAAUGAGCCGAUGUCGGAUUAGCUAGUUGGCGGGGUAAAGGCCCACCAAGGCGACGAUCCGUAGCUGGUCUGAGAGGAUGAUCAGCCACACGGGAACUGAGACACGGUCCAGACGCCUACGGGAGGCAGCAGUGGGGAAUAUUGGGCAAUGGGCGCAAGCCUGAUCCAGCCAUACCGCGUGGGUGAAGAAGACCUUCGGGUUGUAAAGCCCUUUUGUUGGGAAAGAAAAGCAGCAGGUUAAUACCCCGCUGUUCUGACGGUACCCAAAAAAUAAGCACCGGCUAACUUCGUG